CCUACGGGUGGCAGCAGUGAGGAAUAUUGGUCAAUGGGCGAGAGCCUGAACCAGCCAAGUCGCGUGCGGGAAGACGGUCCUAUGGAUUGUAAACCUCUUUUGCCGGGGAGUAAAAAGCGGUACGCGUACCGCAUCGAGAGUACUCGGAGAAAAAGCAUCGGCUAACUCCGUGCCAGCAGCCGCGGUAAUACGGAGGAUGCGAGCGUUAUCCGGAUUUAUUGGGUUUAAAGGGUGCGGAGGCGGCGAGUUAAGUCAGCUGUGAAAUUUCGGGGCUCAACCCCGACCUAGCAGUGGAAACUGGCUUGCUAGAGUGGGCGAGAAGUAGGCGGAAUGCGUGGUGUAGCGGUGAAAUGCAGAGAUAUGACGAAGAACUCCGAUUGCGAAGGCAGCAUACCGGCGCCCAACUGACGCUCAGGCACGAAAGCGUGGGUAUCGAACAGGAUUAGAUACCCGAGUAGUC
rnacentral:rRNA from 1 species